rnacentral:rRNA from 1 species
GAUGAACGCUGGCGGCGUGCCUAAUACAUGCAAGUCGAGCGAACAGACGAGGAGCUUGCUCCUCUGACGUUAGCGGCGGACGGGUGAGUAACACGUGGAUAACCUACCUAUAAGACUGGGAUAACUUCGGGAAACCGGAGCUAAUACCGGAUAAUAUAUUGAACCGCAUGGUUCAAUAGUGAAAGACGGUUUUGCUGUCACUUAUAGAUGGAUCCGCGCCGCAUUAGCUAGUUGGUAAGGUAACGGCUUACCAAGGCAACGAUGCGUAGCCGACCUGAGAGGGUGAUCGGCCACACUGGAACUGAGACACGGUCCAGACUCCUACGGGCGGCAGCAGUAGGGAAUCCUGCGCAAUGGGCGCAAGCUUGACGGAGCAACACCGCGUAAGUGAUGAAGGUCUUCGGAUCGUAAAACUCUGUUAUUAGGGAAGAACAAAUGUGUAAGUAACUAUGCACGUCUUGACGGUACCUAAUCAGAGAGCCACGGCUAACUACGUG